CGAAAGAAGGAAUUUUUUAAGUAAAAUUGAUGAAAAUUACUAUAUAGCGUACAUUGAACGUAAAGAUCUGAUCAUAAAGAUGAUAUCAAUAACACUAGAUAUUUUACAUAUUAGGGAAAAGCUAUGUUAAAAAGUCAUCAAAGUGGAAUGUAUGCACAAUUGUUUUACCAACCUCGUCAUCAUUCCAUCUUCGAUAGAGUUUGUGAUAAAUGUUUGGACUUGCGGAAUACAGUUUACAUUUAGCUGGAUAUAUGCUACAACUCAUGGACCUCCUCUUUUUAUGCACAAAUGUGUUUACGGGUUUUAAUUCUUUUAUUUUCUUACCUGUUUUGUGAAUGUCGAUCAUCCAUUUUCGUGUAUAUAACAGAGAGGCAGCCGAGAAUGAACAGAGAGGCAGCAUUUUGACAGAGAGGCCAUCGAUAUGCAUCUACACCGUGUGUAUGUACUGUGGUUGUGAGAAUCGAUGGACAUUAGCGAUUUAAAUUUUAUUAUAUUUGAUUUCGUGUAAUAUUUUUUUAUCAAUGAAACGUUUUCUUAGAUUAAUGAGGGAAUUACUUUCGAGAAAAUAAUGAGUAAAUAAUGAAAUUCAUCGCCAAUAUGAGAAUUAGAGUUACAUAAAAAGCACAGUCGUUGGUUCAAUUCUAUCACAUGCCAAUGUGCGCCGAAAUACAAAUGGAUAUAGAUUUUAAAGGCGCGUAGACAUGACAUCGUCCGGGGAGCCGAAAUUUAGUGUUAUCUGGAUGUUUGCGAUUCUUAUGACAUGUGUAUGUUUUGGACAUCCGGAAAUGACAAUUCUCGAAAAGAUCACGUUUCUUGGGAGCGGGACGAGAUUACUGGACACAUAUGACUAUGCAAAGUCACAUGCUGAUGACACCAGUGUCGGUGAUGAAAGCUCUGGAAGUGUCGGUGUUCAGGCAUCCCCUUACAAGCAUGAAAUCUCCACAUAUACCGAAAGACCAGAAAUAACCAUCAAAGACAUUAAUGCCUCAGACAAUAAAAUCAUGUUUUAUACUGGCUAGGCAACUUUCUUUUUUUAAAUUCUGUGUUACUGACAUUUAUUGAAUUUGGUACCGACAAAUAAUUUACUGAAAAAAUGAACACUGUUCAGAUUGAGACAGGGCGGAAAAGAAAGUUAAGACCUGUUGAUGAGUUUCAAUGAGAUUGUAAACAAAUUAUUUGAUGCAACAUAAUAACCCUUUAUUACUAGUAAUGUAUUGAUAAAUAAAACAUUUUUUAAAUUUUGAA